rnacentral:rRNA from 1 species
UACAGAGGUCUCAAGCGUUGUUCGGAUUCAUUGGGCGUAAAGGGUGCGUAGGCGGCGCGGUAAGUCGGGUGUGAAAUCUUGGAGCUUAACUCCGAAACUGCAUUCGAUACUGCCGUGCUUGAGGACUGGAGAGGAGACUGGAAUUUACGGUGUAGCGGUGAAAUGCGUAGAUAUCGUAAGGAAGACCAGUGGCGAAGGCGGGUCUCUGGACAGUUCCUGACGCUGAAGCACGAAGGCCAGGAGAGCAAACGGG